rnacentral:rRNA from 1 species
GACGAACGCUGGCGGCGUGCUUAACACAUGCAAGUCGAACGAAGCACUACUAGUUGAUUCCUUCGGGAUGAAGCAGGUAGUGACUGAGUGGCGGACGGGUGAGUAACGCGUGAGUAACCUGCCUUUCAGAGGGGGACAACAUUUGGAAACGAAUGCUAAUACCGCAUAACAUAUCUUUGUGGCAUCGCAGAGAUAUCAAAGGAGUUAAAUCCGCUGAAAGAUGGACUCGCGUCCGAUUAGCUAGAUGGGGAGGUAAUGGCUCACCAUGGCGACGAUCGGUAGCCGGACUGAGAGGUUGAUCGGCCACAUUGGGACUGGGACACGGCCCAGACUCCUACGGGAGGCAGCAGUGGGGAAUAUUGCACAAUGGGGGAAACCCUGAUGCAGCGACGCCGCGUGAGUGAAGACGGCCUUCGGGUUGUAAAGCUCUGUUGACGGGGACGAUAAUGACGGUACCCGUUCAGAAAGCCACGGCUAACUACGUGCCAGCCGCCGCGGUAAUAC